GCGGCCGUAGUCUAGCCUGGACUAGGACAUCAGCCUGCCACGCUGGCGACCCGGGUUCAAAUCCCGGCGGCCGCA
rnacentral:tRNA from 1 species